rnacentral:tRNA from 1 species
CGCCGCCGUCGGCGAGUCCGGCGAUGACGGCGUUGACGUCGCCGGUGAAGAGGCGCCGGAAUCGUUGCCAUUGUUCGGUGCCGGGGACGACGUC